AGUAUAUUCGACUGCGGUUUAAUUCAGCCAUUGCCUUGGUCGCAUGUGGAAUCUACCUUUUCUUCUCGCUAAGUACAGGUGCACUAACCAUCUUCGCAGCCAGCUUGACGACUCUCACAAUUUUCGGAACACCUCUUCUGUGGUGUAAUAUAGCAAUUGGACUGGGUGGAACACUUUACACUGCACUUGGUGGACUCAGGGGCGUUGUCUGGACAGACUGCAUGCAGCUAAUCUUCAUUCUUCUGGGACCGACAACUGUCAUUGCUAAUGUCAUCGCUGGCUCAAAAAGUUCUAUUGGCGCUCAACAAGCGCUGCAUGAGCUCGACGUGCGCAGAUACAUAGCCAAUGUGAAAUUUGACAUAAGUCACGACGAGAAUGUCUGGUCAUCUUUGCUGGCGUCCACAACUCUUUCUCUUUACCGAGUCGGCUUAGACCAAGUGACUGUUCAAAGGUGUAUGGCUUCCCGUAACCUUAGCGAUGCGAGAAGAACAUUGUUCAUGGGGUCAUUCAUGCUUUUCACCGUUUACGUCGUCAACUUAUGUCUGGCUUUGGCCUUGGUAGUGUGGUUCUGGGGAUGUGACCCGAAGCUCGCCGGUGCAAUCAAUAGUCAU